UACGGAGGGUGCGAGCGUUGUCCGGAAUCACUGGGCGUAAAGGGCGCGUAGGCGGCGCGGAUAGUCGGCGGUGAAAGCCCGGAGCUCAACUCCGGGUCGGCCGUGGAUACUCUCGGGCUUGAGCUUACUAGAGGCAGAUGGAAUUCCGGGUGUAGCGGUGGAAUGCGUAGAGAUCCGGAAGAACACCGGUGGCGAAGGCGGUCUGCUGGGGUAAUGCUGACACUGAUGCGCGACAGCGUGGGGAGCAAACAGG
rnacentral:rRNA from 1 species